rnacentral:rRNA from 1 species
GCUAUACAUGCAGUCGAGCGAACGGAUAAGGAGCUUGCUCCUUUGAAGUUAGCGGCGGACGGGUGAGUAACACGUGGGUAACCUACCUAUAAGACUGGGAUAACUUCGGGAAACCGGAGCUAAUACCGGAUAACAUUUAGAACCGCAUGGUUCUAAAGUGAAAGAUGGUUUUGCUAUCACUUAUAGAUGGACCCGCGCCGUAUUAGCUAGUUGGUAAGGUAACGGCUUACCAAGGCGACGAUACGUAGCCGACCUGAGAGGGUGAUCGGCCACACUGGAACUGAGACACGGUCCAGACUCCUACGGGAGGCAGCAGUAGGGAAUCUUCCGCAAUGGGCGAAAGCCUGACGGAGCAACGCCGCGUGAGUGAUGAAGGGUUUCGGCUCGUAAAACUCUGUUAUUAGGGAAGAACAAAUGUGUAAGUAACUGUGCACAUCUUGACGGUACCUAAUCAGAAAGCCACGGCUAACUACGUGCCAGCAGCCGCGGUAAUACGUAGGUGGCAAGCGUUAUCCGGAAUUAUUGGGCGUAAAGCGCGCGUAGGCGGUUUCUUAAGUCUGAUGUGAAAGCCCACGGCUCAACCGUGGAGGGUCAUUGGAAACUGGGAAACUUGAGUGCAGAAGAGGAAAGUGGAAUUCCAUGUGUAGCGGUGAAAUGCGCAGAGAUAUGGAGGAACACCAGUGGCGAAGGCGACUUUCUGGUCUGUAACUGACGCUGAUGUGCGAAAGCGUGGGGAUCAAACAGGAUUAGAUACCCUGGUAGUCCACGCCGUAAACGAUGAGUGCUAAGUGUUAGGGGGUUUCCGCCCCUUAGUGCUGCAGCUAACGCAUUAAGCACU